rnacentral:snRNA from 9 species
ACACUUACUUGGCGUAGCGGAUUGGUUACCGUGAUCACGCAGGCGUUUCCCCCAGGGUAAGGCUGCUCCAUUGCACUGCGGAGUGGUUGACCCUUUGACCCUUGCGAUUACUACCGAGUGUGACUUGCACACACACACACACUUUUUUUUUGUAUUGGAUUAGAUGUCAAGC